rnacentral:rRNA from 1 species
CAGCAGCCACGGUAAUACGGAAGGUCCAGGCGUUAUCCGGAUUUAUUGGGUUUAAAGGGAGUGUAGGCGGUCUGUUAAGCGUGUUGUGAAAUUUAGGUGCUCAACAUUUAACUUGCAGCGCGAACUGGCGGACUUGAGUGCACGCAACGUAUGCGGAAUUCAUGGUGUAGCGGUGAAAUGCUUAGAUAUCAUGACGAACUCCGAUUGCGAAGGCAGCGUACGGGAGUGUUACUGACGCUUAAGCUCGAAGGUGCGGGUAUCGAACAGGAUUAGAUACCCCCGUAGUCCCUGUCUCUUAUAU